CNUCCUGGGAUAACACUGACGUUCAUGCUCGAAAGCGUGGGUAGCAAACAGGAUUAGAUACCCUGGUAGUCCACGCCCUAAACGAUGUCAAUUAGCUGUUGGGCAACUUGAUUGCUUAGUAGCGUAGCUAACGCGUGAAAUUGACCGCCUGGGGAGUACGGUCGCAAGAUUAAAACUCAAAGGAAUUGACGGGGACCCGCACAAGCGGUGGAUGAUGUGGAUUAAUUCGAUGCUACGCGAAGAACCUUACCUGGUCUUGACAUGUACGGAAUCCUCCAGAGACGGAGGAGUGCCUUCGGGAGCCGUAACACAGGUGCUGCAUGGCUGUCGUCAGCUCGUGUCGUGAGAUGUUGGGUUAAGUCCCGCAACGAGCGCAACCCUUGUCAUUAGUUGCCAUCAUUUAGUUGGGCACUCUAAUGAGACUGCCGGUGACAAGCCGGAGGAAGGUGGGGAUGACGUCAAGUCCUCAUGGCCCUUAUGACCAGGGCUUCACACGUCAUACAAUGGUCGGUACAGAGGGUAGCCAAGCCGCGAGGUGGAGCCAAUCUCACAAAACCGAUCGUAGUCCGGAUUGCACUCUGCAACUCGAGUGCAUGAAGUCGGAAUCGCUAGUAAUCGCAGGUCAGCAUACUGCGGUGAAUACGUUCCCGGGUCUUGUACACACCGCCCGUCACACCAUGGGAGUGGGGGAUACCAGAAGUAGGUAGGGUUACCGCAAGGAGCCCGCUU
rnacentral:rRNA from 1 species